UUUGCAUUGCGCCAGUCUUAGGCGCUUGCCGGUUUCAAGUUGGUGCAACUUGUGCGAGGCGAGUCGCUAAAC
rnacentral:tRNA from 1 species